CAGGCCUAACACAUGCAAGUCGAACGAAGCCUUCGGGCUUAGUGGCGGACGGGUUAGUAACGCGUGGGAAUGUACCCUUCACUACGGAAUAGUCCCGGGAAACUGGGUUUAAUACCGUAUACGCCCUUCGGGGGAAAGAAUUUCGGUGAAGGAUCAGCCCGCGUUAGAUUAGGUAGUUGGUGGGGUAAUGGCCUACCAAGCCUACGAUCUAUAGCUGGUUUGAGAGGAUGAUCAGCAACACUGGGACUGAGACACGGCCCAGACUCCUACGGGAGGCAGCAGUGGGGAAUCUUAGACAAUGGGGGAAACCCUGAUCUAGCCAUGCCGCGUGAGUGACGAAGGUCUUAGGAUCGUAAAGCUCUUUCAACUGUGAAGAUAAUGACGGUAGCAGUAGAAGAAACCCCGGCUAACUCCGUGCCAGCAGCCGCGGUAAUACGGAGGGGGUUAGCGUUGUUCGGAAUUACUGGGCGUAAAGCGCACGUAGGCGGAUUGGAAAGUUGGGGGUGAAAUCCCGGGGCUCAACCUCGGAACUGCCUCCAAAACUAUCAGUCUAGAGUUCGAGAGAGGUGAGUGGAAAUCCGAGUGUAGAGGUGAAAUUCGUAGAUAUUCGGAAGAACACCAGUGGCGAAGGCGGCUCACUGGCUCGAUACUGACGCUGAGGUGCGAAAGUGUGGGUAGCAAACAGGAUUAGAUACCCUGGUAGUCCACACCGUAAACGAUGAAUGCCAGUCGUCAGGGGGCUUGCCCCUUGGUGACACACCUAACGGAGUAAGCAUUCCGCCUGGGGAGUCGGCCGCAAGGUUAAAAC
rnacentral:rRNA from 1 species